rnacentral:lncRNA from 1 species
GAUGUCUGAUCCGAGCUUGGACCGAGAUUGGGUAUGUGAAUGAAAUAUAAUUUAUUGAAUAUCGUCGACGUAUAAAUUUAUUGAAUAAUUUUUCAUUUUAUUUAUGUAGGAGGGCGGUCCAGCUAAUCGACGAUCACCUCCGCCGAGGGUAUCGCCGCCACCAUUGGCAUCACCGCCGCCGAGAGUAUCGUCCCCGCCAUUGGCAUCACCUCCGUCGAGGGCAUCACCGCCGCUAGUGGCAUCACCUCCGUCGAGGGCAUCACCGCCGCUAGUGGCAUCACCUCUGCCGGGGCCAUCGCAACCGCCAUUGACAUCACCUCUAUCCAGACACCUCCCCCGUGUAUCUCCGGGGCACAGUGAUGAUUUGUAUGCCCGUUUGACUGAAUUUAUAGCGGAGGAGGUCUGCGUGCUACGACGAGAUUUGACGGAGAGGGUCGAUGAUCUGGGACGAGAGUUGACAGGGAGGGUCGACGAUCUGGUAAAGAAGGUUGACUAUUUGAUAGGGAGGGUCGACGAUGUGGGACGAGAGUUGACAGGGAGGGUUGACGAUCUAUCCCAUGAUGUUGGAAUACUAUAGUCUUCCAUUGUCGACCUUUAGGAUACAGUAGCGGCGCUUAGAGGAGAUUUAGCCGGCAGACAAUGGGGGACAGAGGGGAUGGCGGAGAUCAUGAUCGAGAGGGUGGCAGAGAUGGUGAUGGAGAGGGGGGUCACCCACAUUUUUGGCGUGAUAAGACAUUGGAGUCAUUGUGGUUGACUAUGGAGGGGAUGGACCAGAUGGGGAUGGGAGAGGGGACUACGGAGGGGGUGGCCCCGACGGGAGGGCCGGAGGAGGUGGCGACAGAGGAGGAGGCCCCGAUGGGGGGACGGAGGAGGUGGCCCUAGAGGUCGAGAGGACGCCCGGCGUGAUUGAGGGUAAGAGACAUGCUGUUGACGAGACGGAGCAGGUGGUCGGCAAGAGGUUGAGAGUGUCGUCACAGUAUGUUGUUUUCCCUUUCACGGCUGAAGUCAAGAGGAGGACGUUCAUCGAUGGGACGUACCUGAACUUAUUCAGAGAGGUAGACAAUGCCAAGUGGAAAGCGUUCGAGACAGAGUGGAUGAGAAUUAUCCCCAGGUAAGUAUUGUAUGAUUUUAAUAAAGCACUGUACGCUAACUCGUCUACGCUUAUUUUAGCAUUUCCCUGUUAUUACAGAGUUAGCCGCACGAUAGGUCAAAGGACGGUCUCGGACCCUUACAAGUGGUUCCACAAUAUCACCACUGCGGGAGCUUGGCUCGCUGACGAUGUAAGUGAACUAUUCAUUUCGUAUUUUUUAUGUAUAUGUGACCUUUUGUUUAUUAAAUAACUCAUACUUUUUUGGUAUUUCCUGCUGCGGCACAUCGACCUGGCCAUGGACUUGCUGCGAGAUCGAGUUCAAAGACAUCCAAAAUCAUUUGAUGUCCAAGGUCGAGUCAUAUUAAACACCGAGUUCCUGGGUGCCGUUACCAUAGAGUAUCAGUCGCUCGAACUUAUGAGUAACGAGUAUACGGUGCCAGAAUUUAUGCUCGAGUGGGUGAUAGGACUGUCACCGAGUGUUGGGGAAAAAUCAUGGGAAGGUUGUACACAUAUGUACAUUCCAGCGUGCAUCAAUAAACACUAUGUUACGUUGGAGAUCGUUUUUGCUGACUCGACUAUAUAUGUGUACGACCCAGAUCAUUCAUGUUUGACACAAAGCCAGUUGGAGCAAAACUUGGAGUCCGUGGCUGUAAUUGUUCCUAUGAUGGCCAGACGAGCGGGGAUAAAUGUACAGGACAGAUUGCGGAUCGUUCGGAACACGACGACAGCGCGACAGUCCGUAAGGGAAGUGUUUGAACUUUGUUGUUUUCAUCUUUCAGAUUUAGUUUUUAUUUGCAUAGUACUGAACUAAUUCAUUCUUGUUCAAUUGCAGCGGCGACUGCGGCAUAUUUGCCAUUAAGUACGUUGAGUUUUUAAGUAUAGGACAUAAGGUUGAUGGAAUCAACCAGUCGUGGAUACAGAACUAGAGAAAGAAGUUAGCAUGUGAUUUGUUCGAAUUUAAUGCUGACCCGUAAAUUUCAUUUAUAUAUAUAUAACAUUUCAAUUGUAAAUUUAAUUAUUUUUGUAAUUAUGAAAUAAUUAUAAAUUUGUG